GAUGAAGAACGUAGCGAAAUGCGAUACGUAAUGUGAAUUGCAGAAUUCAGUGAAUCAUCGAAUCUUUGAACGCAUACUGCGCUCUCUGGUAUUCCGGAGAGCAUGCUUGUUUGAGUAUCAGUAAACACCUCAACUUCCAUAUCUUUUUUGAAAUGGGAGUUGGACUUGAGUGAUCCCAACGCUUUUCCUCACCGAAAAGUGGCGGGUUACUUGAAAUGCAGGUGCAGCUGGACUUUUCUCUGAGCUAUAAGCAUAUCUAUUUAGUCUGCCUAAAAAACAGAUUAUUACCUUUGCUGCAGCUAACAUAAAGGAGAUUAGUUCUUGUGCUGACUGAUGCAGGAUUCACAAAGACAGGCUUCGGCCGACUUUGUAAACUCGAUCUCAAAUCAAGUAAGACUACCCGCUGAACUUAAGCAUAUCAAUAAGCGGAGGA
rnacentral:misc_RNA from 1 species